UAAUGGUGGAUGCGAGUCAUGCGAAAUGUCUGAAAAGGUGAUCGAAAACCUGUUUAAACGAUACAGGAAAACAAAGAGAAAAGAAAGAAAUGCGAUCGGGAUCAAUUACCGGUAAUCAAGAUUAAGCAAACGGUCUCUGAAUUUCUCCAAAAUGCUUAUGUGUUUGUCGGCCACGAUUUUACCAUGGGGUGCUUGUGCAAAUGGUUCGUAAGGCACAUGGAAGAAGCUAAAUUUAUAAAAUAACGCUCAGAUCCCAACAUCGACAGAGUUGAAAUAUGGAAAACAAAAUUCUCCGCAGACCUUUUAGUUACAAUGAACCAUGAUAGUGGCAGACAGAACCCGAACCCAGGGCCACCAUGUCCAAACCAGCUAGUCCACGCUAUCAAAUGUGCUAUACACCUCUGUUAUAUGUAAGUAUUACACACAUUACACUUAAGCAUUACAUCAAGGUUGUCUAUAAAAAUUGAAGUAGAAGGAAGAAAUAAAAAAAUAGAAUGGGGGUCUGGAGGUAAAGCUUAUAGCAGAUUGUGUUUGAAAUGCAAUAAUAGCUGGGUAAUUACAUCAUUAUAAUUCCCCGCCCCCAGUAUUAGAGACAACCUUGAUUACACACAUUACAUUUAAGUAUUACACACAUUACGUGUAAGUAUACUCUGGUGAGUCUGGUGGCUGCAGAAGACAACACUAAUCCCCAUGAUGUUGUCAGUAGUUAUGAAGACUGAAGAGGAAGAAGUGGAUGAUGAGACAGCUCUUGGUGGUAACUAAAACAAAUCUAGUCAUCAACAAACAUAAUUUACUUAUUUUAGCUGCUGGUCUGUAGCUCCCGGUCUGAAAAAUUUGGAUGGAGGACCAGGUCGUCCAUCCAAAUAUUUUAAAUUUGAUUAGCGAAAUAUAUUUUUAUGAGAAUGUAAUAAGUUCGUUGUUUAAAUUUUUGUUUAUUUGUAGGCAUAUAUGGAAAUGGUCAUGUAUUGGAAAGGUGGUGUUCUCAACUCACUCUGCACAUGCACAGGUACAUGAAUUGUGGUGAUUUGUUGCAAGCCUCCCCAAGUGAAAUUGGAUCUUCCUGUUUUUACACCAAGAUACAGAGAUCACCUGAGAUACAGAAGGAACCAUUAAGCUGACUCCUAUGUCAGAAUUCAGUUGUAUCUAAGGUAAGUUAAAAUUUAAUGAUUUUAAACAAAAUAAGUUUUCCUUUUAUUUGAAUGUUUUUUUUUAAUUGUUUUUGAAUGACUUGAAAAUCUAUACAAGUAUUUCUCAUUCUUAAUUUUUUGUUUUGAUAUUAAGCAAAGAUGUUUUUUUAACAGGUAAAUAUUAAGUGAUGGUAGGAUGGACAUAUACUGUGGAAUCAUUAAAAUUCGUGGUGGCUCAAUUUUCGUGGUAUUCGUGGGUAGCGCAUGCCCACGAAUUUACAAUGAAUUUACAUCCUCAACGAAAUUUAAUAAUAAAAGAAUAAGUCUACCAUCUGAAACUAAAAACUGAUGGAUCCACGAAAUUACAUCCCUACGAAUAUGCAAAAAACAUGAAUUUACAUCCUCAACGAAAUUUAAUAAUAAAAGAAUAAGUCUACCAUCUGAAACUAAAAACUGAUGGAUCCACGAAAUUACAUCCCCACGAAUAUGCAAAAAACACACAAUCCACGAAAAUUGGCCCCCACAAAAUUAAAUGACUCCACAGUAGUAUUUCACAUUCAGUGCAUUACUACUCUUACACAAUUACAGAAAAAUUACCACAAAGAAAAUGUUGUACAUUAUUACAAUGAAUUUAAGAAUGACUUUAUUUUAAAGAAUCAAACAGAAACACUGUUUCCCAAACUGCUUACAGUUUUUCAUUAACACAGCAAUAGUACAGUAUCUCUGUAUAGAAAUUGCAACUGUCCCAUUAAAAUUAAAUGUAUUUUACAUCUUGAUUUUUUAUGUUUGUUAGAAAAACCAUAUCCAAAUAAUUAUAUGUAUCAUUAAUCAUUUACUUUUGGCAUGGUAUAAAAAAAUUGAGAAAGAUAAAAAAAUCAAUGCAGUGAGUUUGAAUGAGCAAUAUUUUAUAACCUGUUUAAAAAAAUUAUUCAAAGUUUGUGAUUUUUUUUUUAGUUUCAUUACAUACAUGUGUAUUUAGUUGUUCAUAAAAGAUGCAAAAAAAAUUACAAAGAUAUGGUUUGAUGAAUCACAAGACUAUAAGACCUGUUGCCUUGGACCAAGUACAUCAUAAACAGAUUUUGAAAUGCUGCAAGCAUCAGUAAUCUAUAAUUAUGAGGAAUUUUUUGUAGUUUGAUUAGGGCCCCACUCUGCAGAUGCUCUAUAGUAAAUGUGUUGCCUGUCUGUAAAGCUGUUAAUCUGAUUUCAUUUGUC